UACGUAGGGUGCAAGCGUUGUCCGGAAUUAUUGGGCGUAAAGAGCUCGUAGGCGGUUUGUUGCGUCGGCUGUGAAAUCCCGAGGCUCAACCUCGGGUCUGCAGUCGAUACGAGCAAACUAGAGUGUUGCAGGGGAGACUGGAAUUCCUGGUGUAGCGGUGAAAUGCGCAGAUAUCAGGAAGAACACCAAUGGCGAAGGCAGCUCUCUGGGACGGUACUGACACUGAGACGCGAAAGCGUGGGGAGCGAACAGG
rnacentral:rRNA from 1 species